rnacentral:rRNA from 1 species
GACGUAGGUGGCAAGCGUUGUCCGGAAUGAUUGGGCGUAAAGCGCGCGCAGGCGGUGCGGCAAGUCCAUGGUGAAAGGGCGUGGCUUAACCACGCGAGGGCCGUGGGGACUGUCGUGCUGGAGGGGAGCAGAGGCGUGUGGAAUGCCGGGUGGAGCGGUGAAAUGCGUAGAGAUCCGGCAGAACACCAGAGGCGAAGGCGGCACGCUGGGCUCAGUCCUGACGCUGAGGCGCGAAAGCGUGGGGAGCGAACCGGAUUAGAUACCCGGGUAGUCCACGCUGUAAACGAUGGACACUAGGUGUGGGGGGCAUCGACCCCCUCCGUGCCGAAGCUAACGCGAUAAGUGUCCCGCCUGGGGAGUACGGCCGCAAGGCUAAA